AUGAAUGAAACUGAACCUGGGGUUUCUCUUUCGAUUGCUACAUGUGUGACUGCAGGAGAUCAACUUCCUUCUCAACCGAUGGUUCCUUCCAUUAAUUUAUUUGUUUCUUCGAUUUGGAUGCAACAUGUUCCCUUCAUGAACGAGGACAUGGGCAUGUACCUCGACGGUGAGCUCAUCCAUCACUACCACCUCGACUCUGUGCGCAAGGUGUUGUGUGUCCUAGAAGAUGGAAGAGGAAGAAAACUUAUUUUUGUUGAACUAAAUUUUCUGUAUUCUGUUUUGUUGUACGUAUCAUUUGAUAGUUUUGUAUAG
rnacentral:rRNA from 1 species